rnacentral:lncRNA from 1 species
UUUUUUUUUUUUUUUUGGUCUUUUUGUCUUUUUCUAGGGCUGCACCCGAGGCAUAUGAAGGUUCCCAGGUUAGAGGUCUAAUCAGAGCAGUAGCCACCGGCCUAUGCCAGAUCCAAGCUGCGUCUGUGACCUACACCACAGCUCAUGGCAAUGCCAGAUCCUUAACCCACUGAGCAAGGCCAGUGAUAUAACCAGCAACCUCGUGGUUCCUAGUUGGAUUCAUUAACGACGGGUACUCCAGUACUGGUAGACUUUUUAAGGGUCCAAACAUUCCAUAAUAUUUUCAUACCAAAAUUCUGUGAAAACGCAUUUUUCUCCUACUUUUCUUACAACGAAUUAAUUUCUGAUAGAUCUAAAAGAUCUUUUUAACAAGUACACUGGAUCAUGUCAGUCCCUGCUUUAAAACCUAAUAACUUCCAACUACCAUGGCCUACACACAAGACUCCAUACUCCCAAUUCUCUACUCCAUCACCUAGCUUCCUAUACGUAACUUUAGUGGAUUCAAACAAUACUAAUCUCCUUCUACAGAUUAGGUACUAUAUAUUCAAUUUCCAUCAGAAACACAUGGGCAUAAAUUUAAACUCUGAAUACUGGUAAGAAUACAGAUAAAUUAUUUUAAAAAGGGCACUCCUUUCUGCCUAGUAUAAUCAAAAUAUUACUUAAAACAAAUAAACUAAGAAAACUCAACUUUUUUUCCCAUCCAGGAUUUAAAUAAAUUUCAUCUCUUCAUAAUGAGUGACUGCCCAGCAGAGUCAUUUCCAUGACUCGUGAUUCUGCCAAGUGAAUUCAACCAAUAUUAGAGCCCAAUCUUAGAGGGAAUCCUGACGUUAAUGCACAAAGCAAAAAUCAACUGUCAAAAUUACUUCUGAAAAUUCUUUAGAAGAAUAACAUACUGGAGAUGCAAGGUAUUAUUAUUAUUUCCAUUUUACACAUGAAGCAACUGAAGCCCAGAGAGAGACAGAGAGAGAGAGACCGAGAAACUUGACCAAGGCAAGAUUCAAAAAAGCAAUUUGGGAGUUCCCGUCGUGGCGCAGUGGUUAACGAAUCCGACUAGGAACCAUGAGGUUGGGGGUUCGAUCCCUGGCCUUGCUCAGUGGGUUAAGGAUCCAGCAUUGCUGUGGCUGUGGUGUAGGCCGGCAGCAACAGCUCAGGAUUAGAUCCGAGCCUGGGAACCUCCAUGUGUCUCGGGUACCACCCUAAAAGUUAGACAAAGGGGGGGGGGCAGGCAGAGAAAUGAGCCUGGAAAGAAGACCAAAAAUAAUCAGCAAGGGAGGUAUCAAGAAGUUUAAAAAAGCAAGGAAAAUCAGGAAAAUGUAGUGUCUCAGAAGCCAAAGGAAAAAUUACAAAAUUAACAGAAGAUGAUGUCAAAUAUUGCAAAGAAUCAAGUAAGAAAAAGACUGAAAGGUGUUCACUGGACUUAAUUAUGUAAGAAUAUCACUGGUGAUCCUGGAGUUCCCACUGUGGCUCAGUGGGUUAAGAAUCAGACUAGUACCCAUGAGGAUGUGGGUUCGACUCUGGCCCCUGCUCAGUGGGUUAAGGAUUCAGUGUUACCUCAACCUAGAGCAUAGGUCACAGAUGAGGCCUGUAGCUCCAAUUCAACCCCUAGCCCAGGAACUUCCAUAUGCCAUAAGUGUUGCAACCCCCGCCCCCCCAAAAAACAAUGUCACUGAUGAUCCUGACUUUUUUUUAAUGAUUAGAAGCACUCCAUGGGGAGGGGGGAGAAUUAUUUCAUUUCAAACAUGACUGAUAAUGUCAGCUUACUUAGUUUUUUAUCCCCUUAAUAAACUGUUUAGGUACAUUUCUCCUUAAUUGAGAGGGCUGACUUAGACGAGUGGUUCCUAAACAUUUCAUGUGGGAUCAUGCCUGUGUAACACAAGAAAAAAAAAAAAACAAAACUUGAACACUAUAAUAACUUCUUUUUAAAAAAUCAUCAGAUUAAAAACAAAUGGAUAAAAACGUUAGUAUAAAGUCAAUAAUAAGUAAAUGUACAUUUAAAAAAACCACAGGUUAUUUGAAAAAAGAAAUACCUAAAACAUUUGUGCAGCCAGAUAUCAUGUUUGGUAAAUAUGUGGGUAUGGUUCUCCCCUGUGUUAACUCUGGCCCAGAGACUGAGAAUCCCUGUGGACUAACAAAGAACUUUACCAAAUUAAAAAAAUCUGUAACUCUUCAAGUUUUCAACAUAAAUCACCAAAGCAAAAUGGCACAUCAUGAUAGAUUUUCUAACAGCCCAAAAUAGAAAAUGAUUUAACACUUUUAGUACCUUAAUCUCAGAUGUUAUCAGCUGUGACUAGAUGCCUUUGAUGAAAGCCUAAAAUUCUAAUUAAACAAAAUAUGAAAUUUUGCUUUUGAAGUGUUUGUUAUCAUAGAAAAAAGAUAACUGGAUAUAGUCUGCCUGCACAUGAAAAUCUCAAACCCAGUAGAAAGAAGCCCAUUAAUUUUACAUUAAAGCAAAUGUAAGCCAAGAGACAACCACCACUAAUUUUCCAUUUUAUUCACUAAUAUUGAACCCUGAACUGACAACAUUUGUUCAUUUCUUCAUCCUCUGAAAAAUUAUAGCUAUUGCUCAGGUGUAGAAAGAAAAGGUAGAGCAUCAGGACUCUGUUUUCCUUUUUAGGGCUGCACCUGCAGCACAUGGAAAUUCUCAGGCUAGGGGGUGAAUUGGAGCUGCAGCUGCUGGCCUAGCUACAGCCCCAGCAACACCAGAUCCGAGCCUCAAGCCUUGUCUGGUACUUACACCACAUCUCACAACCACAUCUCACAACAAGGCCCAAUCCAUAACCCAUUGAUCAAGGCCAGGGAUCAAACCCACAUCCUCAUGGAUACUAGUUGGGUGUGUUAACACUGAGCCACAAGAGGAACUCCAACAUUCUACCAGUUUUUCUAUCAUUUCAAAGAAAUGUUUCCUUAUUUACAAAACCCACUGAGGCUGACAAUUUAAAGGUGCUAUUCAAAUAUAAAACAAUUUAUCCAACCACAGAUAAUAAAAAUUAUAAUUUGUGGUUAGUUGUAUUUAGAUAGUCUAAUAAUAACUCUAAGGACUAGACUAUAAAAAAGAUUCUGGAGUUCCCGUCGUGGCGCAGUGGUUAACGAACCCGACUAGGAACCAUGAGGUUGCGGGUUCGAUCCUUGCCCUUGCUCAGUGGGUUAACGAUGCGGCGUUGCCGUGAGCUGUGGUGUAGGUUGCAGACGCGGCUCGGAUCCCGCGUUGCUGUGGCUCUGGCGUAGGCCAGUGGCUACAGCUCCGAUUCGACCCCUAGCC